GCUGGGCAUGGUGGCGCGUGCCUGUAAUCCCAGCUACUCAGGAGGCUGAGGCAGGAGAAUUGCCUGAACCCAGGAGGCGGAGGUUGCAGUGAGCCGAGAUGGUGCCAUGGCACUCCAGCCUGGGUAACAAGAGCGAAACUCCAUCUCAAAAAAAAAAAAAAAGUAUUACCCAGGUGUGGUGGUUGCAGUGAGCCAAGAUCAUGCCACUGCGCUCCAGCCUGGGCGAUACAAUGAGAUUCAGUCUCA
rnacentral:sRNA from 1 species